UUUUAGCUCAGUUGGUUAGAGCACCUGACUGUUAAUCAGGGGGUCAUAGGUUCAAGUCCUAUAA
rnacentral:tRNA from 1 species